GGGUCCAACCUCCCACCCGUGUCUCUCGUACCUUGUUGCUUCGGCGGGCCCGCCUCACGGCCGCCGGGGGGCCUCUGCCCCCGGGCCCGCGCCCGCCGAAGACACCCACGAACUCUGUCUGAAGAUUGCAGUCUGAGUGAAAUGAGAAAUUAUUUAAAACUUUCAACAACGGAUCUCUUGGUUCCGGCAUCGAUGAAGAACGCAGCGAAAUGCGAUACGUAAUGUGAAUUGCAGAAUUCAGUGAAUCAUCGAGUCUUUGAACGCACAUUGCGCCCUCUGGUAUUCCGGAGGGCAUGCCUGUCCGAGCGUCAUUGCUGCCCUCAAGCACGGCUUGUGUGUUGGGCCCCGUCCCCUAGGGGACGGGCCCGAAAGGCAGCGGCGGCACCGCGUCCGGUCCUCGAGCGUAUGGAGCUUUGUCACCCGCUCUUGUAGGCCCGGCCGGCGCCCGCCGAUCAACCACACUUCUUUCCAGGUUGACCUCGGAUCAGGUAGGGAUACCCGCUGAACUUAAGCAUAUCAAUAAGCGGAGGAAAAGAAACCAACAGGGAUUGCCCCAGUAACGGCGAGUGAAGCGGCAAGAGCUCAAAUUUGAAAGCUGGCUCCUUCGGGGCCCGCAUUGUAAUUUGUAGAGGAUGCUUCGGGAGCGGUCCCCAUCUAAGUUCCCUGGAACGGGACGUCAUAGAGGGUGAGAAUCCCGUAUGGGAUGGGGUGUCCGCGCCCGUGUGAAGCUCCUUCGACGAGUCGAGUUGUUUGGGAAUGCAGCUCUAAAUGGGUGGUAAAUUUCAUCUAAAGCUAAAUAUUGGCCGGAGACCGAUAGCGCACAAGUAGAGUGAUCGAAAGAUGAAAAGCACUUUGAAAAGAGAGUUAAACAGCACGUGAAAUUGUUGAAAGGGAAGCGCUUGCGACCAGACUCGCUCGCGAGGUUCAGCCGGCAUUCGUGCCGGUGUAUUUCCUCGCGGGCGGGCCAGCGUCGGUUUGGGCGGUCGGUCAAAGGCCCUCGGAAGGUAACGCCCCCUCGGGGGCGUCUUAUAGCCGAGGGUGCAAUGCGACCUGCCUGGACCGA
rnacentral:rRNA from 1 species